GGCGACCGGCGCACGGGUGCGCACCGCGUAUGGAACCUGCCUUGUACAGGGGAAUAGCCCAGGGAAACUUGGAUUAAUGCCCCGUAGUACCGUAUUUCGGCAUCGUUAUACGGUUAAAGCCUUCGGGCGGUACAAGAUGGCCAUGCGUCCCAUUAGCUUGUUGGUAAGGUAACGGCUUACCAAGGCUACGAUGGGUAGGGGCCCUGAGAGGGGGAUCCCCCACACUGGUACUGAGACACGGACCAGACUCCUACGGGAGGCAGCAGUGAGGAAUAUUGGACAAUGGAGGAGACUCUGAUCCAGCCAUGCCGCGUGCAGGAAGAAUGCCCUAUGGGUAGUAAACUGCUUUUAAACGGGAAGAAAAAGAGCUACGUGUAGCUUACUGACGGUACCGUAAGAAUAAGGACCGGCUAACUCCGUGCCAGCAGCCGCGGUAAUACGGAGGGUCCGAGCGUUAUCCGGAAUUAUUGGGUUUAAAGGGUCCGUAGGCGGGCCGAUAAGUCAGGGGUGAAAGUCUGCCGCUCAACGGUAGAACUGCCUUUGAUACUGUCGGUCUUGAGUUAUAGUGAAGUUGCCGGAAUAUGUAGUGUAGCGGUGAAAUGCAUAGAUAUUACAUAGAACACCGAUUGCGAAGGCAGGUGACUAACUAUAUACUGACGCU
rnacentral:rRNA from 1 species